ACAGAAAUAACAUUUUCAAACAGCUCUCAACAGAGGUCAUGCAUUUCUUCCAUGAAAGUUAUAGAAAAUAGACAACUUCACAGUCUUGUCAUCAGAAAAAAAACUUAUGAACAUGAGUUCAUGACAUGUCAAAUUUCAAUUAGCUCAUAAGCUCAUUAAUUUAUUGCAAAAGUACUCUGGUACUUGUCUCUAAUAAGCAAAACUAGCUCUCUGAGGCAUUCAAAGUUUUAAAUUAACCAGUAAAAACAUGUUGUUUAAUGAGUAACUGUAGUGGGAAUGGCCAGUUUUAAAUACUACGGACAUUGAGGCAGCACAUCAGGACCAAUCUGAUGUUAAAGCAUUAUUCUGCAUUUAAGUGACCUUAGCAAAACAUAAAGUACAUUAGGAAAAACUAAAGAUUGAUGGAAUGAUGGAAUAUCCAAGCCUUGAAGUGCAAGUUUCCUUAAAUUAUAUUCACUGCCGAGAGAGAGAGAGAGAGAGAGAGAGAGAGAGAGAGAGAGAGAGAGAGAGAGAGAGAGAGUGGAACCACCAGGAAACACCGAAAAGGGAUGUAAAACACUACAAAAGUGAAGUGGGCCGGUUCAUUAACCAGACUGACAGUGCUACAAACCUCACACAUCUGUAGCUGGAAGAGCCACCUCUCUUUCUCCAUCUCCUCGGCAAUCUCCGCCCCAGUGAUCUCUGUUCGGAUCAUGCCGUGCUG